GAGCACUCUACUGAGUACAUCCAUCAAGGAUUCAAAUUUUUAACUUGCAGUCAGCGCACAAGGCCAUUCAAGAAACAUGAGGAAAGUGCUUGUCUUCUUUAAUCCAAUCACGUUUGGAAUUACAUUCACUCUUGGAAAUCUUCUUGCGCUUGGAAGGUGAAUAAGAUAAAGGUGAUAUCUAUUAAUCAGAGGAUUGUGCAAUCAACAACUAAAAUGGUAGCUGUAAUUUUAGAUAUGAUGACUAAUUGUUGUAUGUAAUUGAAUUUUGUUAACUCUUAUUUGUAUUUUUACAAGAGAGAUAGAUGUAUUUGUAUGGGAAUGGAUUGUUGAUAAAGGCAACUAUUGUUGAGAAACUCUCAUAUUUUUUUGCCAUCUUCUUGGAUUGGAUAGUCAUUUAUACUAGUUAUAUAUAGUUUUGA